rfam:Triticum aestivum genome assembly, contig: Triticum_aestivum_CS42_TGACv1_scaffold_061246_1DL
UACGUACUCCCUCCGUCCAGAAUUACUUGUUGCGGAAAUGGAUAAAAGUAGAUGAAUGUAGAACUAAAGUAUAUCUAGAUACAUCCAUUUCUCCGAUUAGUAAAUCCGGACGGAGAGAGUACAUU